CGUGUAGGCGGUCAAGCAAGUGGAAUGUGAAACCCCUCGGCUCACCCGAGGACCUGCAUUCCAAACUGCUUAGCUUGAGUAUGGGAGAGGAUGAGGGAAUUCCUGGUGUAGCGGUGAAAUGCGUAGAUAUCAGGAGGAACACCGGUGGCGAAGGCGCUCAUCUGGCCCAAUACUGACGCUGAGGCGCGAAAGCUAGGGAGCAAACG
rnacentral:rRNA from 1 species